rnacentral:rRNA from 1 species
AUUGAACGCUGGCGGCAUGCCUUACACAUGCAAGUCGAACGGCAGCACGGGUGCUUGCACCUGGUGGCGAGUGGCGAACGGGUGAGUAAUACAUCGGAACAUGUCCUGUAGUGGGGGAUAGCCCGGCGAAAGCCGGAUUAAUACCGCAUACGAUCUACGGAUGAAAGCGGGGGACCUUCGGGCCUCGCGCUAUAGGGUUGGCCGAGAGCUGAUUAGCUAGUUGGUGGGGUAAAGGCCUACCAAGGCGACGUUCAGUAGCUGGUCUGAGAGGACGACCAGCCACACUGGAACUGGGACACGGCCCAGACUCCUACGGGAGGCAGCAGUGGGGAAUUUUGGACAAUGGGCGAAGGCCUGAUCCAGCAAUGCCGCGUGUGGGAAGAAGGCCUUCGGGUUGUAAAGCACUUUUGUCCGGAAAGAAAUCCUUGGCUCUAAUACAGUCGGGGGAUGACGGUACCGGAAGAAUAAGCACCGGCUAACUACGUG